GACGAACGCUGGCGGCGUGCCUAAUACAUGCAAGUUGAGCGCUGAAGGUUGGUACUUGUACCAACUGGAUGAGCAGCGAACGGGUGAGUAACGCGUGGGGAAUCUGCCUUUGAGCGGGGGACAACAUUUGGAAACGAAUGCUAAUACCGCAUAAAAACUUUAAACACAAGUUUUAAGUUUGAAAGAUGCAAUUGCAUCACUCAAAGAUGAUCCCGCGUUGUAUUAGCUAGUUGGUGAGGUAAAGGCUCACCAAGGCGAUGAUACAUAGCCGACCUGAGAGGGUGAUCGGCCACAUUGGGACUGAGACACGGCCCAAACUCCUACGGGAGGUAGCAGUAGGGAAUCUUCGGCAAGGGACGAAAGUCUGACCGAGCAACGCCGCGGGAGUGAAGAAGGGUUUCGGAUCGUAAAACUCUGUUGGUAGAGAAGAACGUUGGUGAGAGUGGAAAGCUCAUCAAGUGACGGUAACUACCCAGAAAGGGACGGCUAACUACGUG
rnacentral:rRNA from 1 species